rnacentral:snoRNA from 1 species
ACGUGGGUGAGGAACUUGGGGGGUGGUACUGCACUUCCAGGGGAUUAAGGGGACUUACCUGGUAAUCGAAGGGGUUCCAGACGGGAAACUGUCUGGGAAA